UACGAAGGGGGCUAGCGUUGCUCGGAAUCACUGGGCGUAAAGCGCACGUAGGCGGCUUUCUAAGUCAGGGGUGAAAUCCUGGAGCUCAACUCCAGAACUGCCUUUGAUACUGGAGAGCUCGAGUCCGGAAGAGGUGAGUGGAACUGCGAGUGUAGAGGUGAAAUUCGUAGAUAUUCGCAAGAACACCAGUGGCGAAGGCGGCUGUCUGGUCCGGUUCUGACGCUGAGGCGCGAAAGCGUGGGGAGCAAACAGG
rnacentral:rRNA from 1 species